rnacentral:rRNA from 1 species
UACGAAGGGGGCUAGCGUUGCUCGGAAUGACUGGGCGUAAAGGGCGCGUAGGCGGAUGGCACAGUCAGAUGUGAAAUUCCCGGGCUUAACCUGGGGGCUGCAUUUGAUACGUGUGAUCUAGAGUGAGGAAGAGGGUCGUGGAAUUCCCAGUGUAGAGGUGAAAUUCGUAGAUAUUGGGAAGAACACCGGUGGCGAAGGCGGCGACCUGGACCUUGACUGACGCUGAGGCGCGAAAGCGUGGGGAGCAAACAGG